CCGUAUAUACCUCAAUAGGGAGGGGGGCGGGGAAAACGCCACAAAAAGGUGCGAGUCCUUUGUACGGC